CAGCAUUACCAUGCUGGAGAGAACGAUAAAACUGAUUCACCUUGGAAUCUUCCCAUCAAUGAGGUGAUAUAUCUCGAUACAUUGAUGUAGAAAGUUUUUAUGACAUGGAUGUUGUGUUUAAUAUUUCAUGGAAUGGAAUACUGAUGUGAUAAAAAAGAAAUAUGUGAAAAUGUACAAUAUUUACUAUACUUACUAUAUUUUUUUUAAUUGUGCAAUACAUAAUUCUUUUUUUUUUUGUAUUCUGUAUGAUUUUGGGUCAAAUACUAUUUACAUACAAUGAAGACUUACAGUAGCAAGAAUUUAGCUAGCAGUUACUACUGUUACAUUGAGGGCCAAUACUGCAUGUAAUCUUCUCCAUGCCUCUGCAAUAGAUAUUUAUUAAAAUCCAAGAGUAGAAUAGCUGUUGAGAAAUGUAUGUUCAAUUUAUUUGUUUGGGUUGUGAUCAUGAUGUUAAAACAAAAACCACAUGUAGAUUAUAAAUAAUCUGAUGUCAGAAAUUAAAAUCUGUUAAAUUGGAUUUAAAUGAACGCUAUUUAUUAUUUUUAAUCUAUAAAUAUACAUGUAUAUACUGUAUGCAUUACUAUAAUUAACAGUUUGAUUUCAAACCCUUCAGUGUUUAUUUAAGAAAUAGUCUAAUCUUGGCUUUCCUUUAAAGAAGUUUGGUCGUAAUACCGGUAAUGUUGAUACUUUUUUUUUCAAAUAAUUCAGGUUUACAAAUUGGCUUUAUAAUUAUUUUUGAGAAAAAAUUCCUUUGAUUGGCAUUAGCAUUUUUCUGGAUGGUUAUGAAAAUAAAUAUGUUUAAGUUUCUUUUCUAGCAUAUAUGUUCAUUAAUUCAUUGUAUUGAAUUUUAUAAAAGGGGUUAAUAUCAAAAUCAACUUUGUAGUGUUUGAAGUGAUUUAACCAAUGGUAAUUAUUGCUAUUCUUUAUUUCAAUUAGAGAUUGUUAGUAAACACAGGAAUCCAGUAAUAUUUACCUAUUAUUUAGAGUCUACCUUUUUCAGUUUGUUUUGUUUACUUAAGUGGCUACAUUGGCCUAUAUACUUACUAGAUUGAAGCAUUAACCUAUAACCCAGAAAAAAAGAGUUAAAAAUGUUUUAUUUAAACAAUAAUAACCUGAUAAGUUAUGUAUAUGAAUGUUCCAAAAUAGUUAUGUAGAAAUUAUGACUGUACUUUAAAUUCAAAUGAAAUUAGUCAACUACAAUAUGAAGUAAAGUUAAUCAUGACUCCUGUACUCUUAUUUGUGUAAGAGAUGUUUAUGAUUAUGCCAAAUAAGAUUUUUAAACAGAAAAUUCAUUUAUAAAUGAAAAAUUUAUUAAUUUAGAGCUUGAAAUUUUAUUACGCUGCUAUUUGAAGAUUGUGUUAUUUUUUCCCUUAAGAGAGUUAUCUCACCAUUGUCUAUUAAAAACAUCAAAUAUAUCAAAGGAAGAACAUAUCUAGGUGUUGGCAAAGACUCAUUUAUCAUGUGAUAUGCUUCUGCUACAUUCCAGUGAAGGUUUAUUUCUACAGUGAAUUUUGGCAAUUACAAACUUGCUCAAUAACACUGCUACUGUUUUAGAAAAAGUUUCUCAAAUCAUCACAAAUAUCUUGCCUUUACUUUUUACCUUGUGCUAUUCAUCGGGAUUUACAAACAUCAUUUAAGUGCUGUAAAGUAUCAUAUGAUGAAAUGACUUUGAAAUAAUCAUCUUGCAAUAUGGGUCCAAAUGAUCAAAUUGUAUUUUGUUCAUUCUCUGGGGUUUGCAUGUUUAUGUUGGAUGUAGGGUUAGUCAAGAUAUUGGUCAACUGGUACCAAAUCACAUAAACAAUCGAUCAAUUUUUUAUGUGUACUAUUUCAGAUCCCUCUACAUGUACUUUUGUAGAUAGAGCAGUAGUCUUUAUGUAAGAUUUGACCAUUGAACUUAUAUAUUUUUUAAAAAGUUCAUGUAAUAUAUAAUUGCAAUUGUGUAGAAAGAUUUCAUGCGUUUGCAUGGGCAUAUAUGAAUAGUACAGAAGAUCUGGCAUAAAAACAUAUUGGGAAAGUGUACACUGAAUACAGAAGUAAUUGUAUAUUUACAUAUUUUUAUUUUGCAAACUUGAAAUGCUUUUAUUUCUAAUAUAGAAAUAUACAUGCAAGUUUCACAAGUAUAUUGUUAUUAUUGAAUUGUUAUGUGAUUUUGACUCUUGUGAACAUAAUACAUGUGUAAUGAUAUUUACUUGUGAGAGUGUUUGUAUGUAUUGUGUAAUCUGAUUAUUGUAUGAAUGAAUGUGGUUAUGAUACUGAUGUACGAGACACAGUAUUACAAUAAAGCAACAUGAAAAUGCC
rnacentral:sRNA from 1 species